AAACACAGUAUCACAACAGCAGCAUCUCUUUGAAAAUAUUUUAAUCAACUGGUAGUUUGGGGUUUUUUUUAAAAAAUAACUUUCUUAAACUUUGGCAUUAUGAUGUCAGUCUAAGCAGGAAAUAGGUUUUCAGAAAGCUGUGAAUCAACAGUUUGCUGUGAUCAUAGAGAAUAAUCAGAAUUAACAUGCUUAUAUUAAUAAAUGCACCUCUAAAAUCAGAAAUGUUAUGGCACAGGACAAUUCCAAAUGUAAGAACAAAUGAGUAACGUCAAAGACACACUACCAGGUUAUACUCCAAUGGAUGUCUCAGGAGGACUUAAAAUAAGCAUCAACAAUGCUUAAUUAAAAUGUAAAGUGCAAAUCAAAUCAUCAUUUGGGUUUUGUGACACCUACUGCUUUCAAGCCUACUCCCUUUGAGAGGAGUCACUGCAAACGCUGUAUAGAGAGAGACAACAGUAAAGGUGUUGGUUUAAUUAGCAAGCAGAGCUUUUACUUUGCAUUAAUCAAUCAGAAGUGGGUUUAGCUAUAAAGUGACACAACAGCAUUGAAGUGUGUGAAGUUGGGCACUGUGCUGGCAAAAGGAGCUAGCACUAGAGGGCCCCCUGUGCCCACGGCUUUGCUCUCACUGUCAGUGGAAGUGAUUUAGCCUCAUUUAGGCUUCUCAGUUUGUGUAAUUCACUGUAUGCCACAGUACCUACAUAAAAACCUUCUGUUUUGCCAACACAGGUGACUAAGGAGCUGCCUGAGGGAAAGUGGGACACUUCACAGCAGGUCUUUGUAGAAAAAAAAAAUCACUUAAAGUGAACAGAUCUGCACAAAUGGAAGUGUCAGCCCUGGAAUCACAACCUACAAGACAUUUUUGCUUUCUUAGCUUGUUCUCUUUUCUCUGUACAGAGCAACACUGGAUAAGUGAUGCAUCAUCUGGGCCUUAAAGCAGAUGUCUAUGGAAAAUGUUAUGUUACCAAAGAAUACAGCAGACAGCAAACAGAGAUUGCUGUCGUCCAACAGCCUCUCAAUCAUGUCUGUAAGAGAUUCACAGGGUGUUGUCAAGUGUUUCUACAUCAGGAGCCUUGGAGGUGGACUUGUGGAGACUUUGAUCUUCUGCAGCUGCUUAUUUGGUUCCCAAGUUUUUUGCUCAGUUAUUCUCCCAAAUUCCAGACUGAGGAAGCACUCCAGGGGAGAGAAAGAAAAAUACAGGUAGGCACCUUAAGUGAUUUCUUAGAUUCAGUCAGUAUUGUGGCUCUCUGUUUUAAAACACAGCAAUUUCUAUGCUAUAUUGCAGUCACUUUAAAAAACAUUCAUCUUUCUCCCAAUAUAUAGCAUGUAUGUACACACAACAAACAGAGGUAACUGAAACAAAAUUAUGCUUCUGUUCUCAUUAUUAAACAUUUGUGUCUUUGGAAGAUGA